AUUGAACGCUGGCGGCAGGCUUAACACAUGCAAGUCGAGCGGAUGAAUGGUGCUUGCACCAUCAUUUAGCGGCGGACGGGUGAGUAAUGCUUAGGAAUCUGCCUGGUAGUGGGGGACAACGUUUCGAAAGGGACGCUAAUACCGCAUACGUCCUACGGGAGAAAGGGGGGGCUCUUCGGACCUCGCGCUAACAGAUUAGCCUAGGUAGGAUUAGCUAGUUGGUGGGGUAAAGGCUCACCAAGGCGACGAUCCGUAACUGGUCUGAGAGGAUGAUCAGGCACACUGGAACUGAGACACGGUCCAGACUCCUACGGGAGGCAGCAGUGGGGAAUAUUGGACAAUGGGCGAAAGCCUGAUCCAGCCAUGCCACGUGUGUGAAGAAGGUCUUCGGAUUGUAAAGCACUUUAAGUUGGGAGGAAGGGCAGUAAGUUAAUACCCUGCUGUUUUGACGUUACCGACAGAAUAAGCACCGGCUAACUUCGUGCCAGCCGCCGCUGUAACAC
rnacentral:rRNA from 1 species